AUGAAUGACAACGUAGAUAUGACAAGCAGUUCUGAAAUUAAUCUUGACGAUCUUCCAACGGAAGUACUAAUAAUUAUCAUGGAACAACUUAAAACUCAUGACUUACUGCGCAUACGUAGCACAUCUCACCGCUUACGCCAUAUUGCCGAUAAAAUCGUCAGCGUCAAAGCUAAUGCUGCAUACGAUUUGAAAGAAGCGUCAAAUCUCGAAGAAAAUAAAAGAUAUUUGAACGGAUCCAACUCCCAACAUUUGGAGUUGACAAACACUUGUGAACAAUUUCGGAUCGAUCUGCGCAGUUUUCAAGAGCUCAAAACACUUAUUAUCGUAAACCUUCCAUUAUUCUUUGAAAGCGAUCUGUCGAACAAAGGAAUGUCAGUUUUUUAUGAAUUUCUAGGUAAAUUUACAUCAGACCACGUUCAUUUCGAUCUGCCUUCGACGAUCUCUAAGAUAACUUUAAAGCGCUUCAUGCGCCGAGAAAGUAUAAUUAUGCCAGAGGAACCCGACAUCUGUCUAGGUGAGCGUAUAUAUCGCGAGCGAUUCGAAUAUUGUGUCGCUGAGCGAGCUUCGAUGGUGACUGAUUCACAAAAUAAUGGAUACUCGAUUCGAGUGCGUUAUCGCCAACCGUGCAUGCAAACAGCUGUUUGGGAUCGAAUCAGCUUGGUUGAAUCUCAGUGGAGUCAAGUGACACCGGAGGAUAAUUUUGAAGAAUUUGUUGUGUCGGUGUCCUUCACCUGGCCGUUAAAAGAGGAGUCCGAAAGAAAUCGAAACUCACCGAUUCCUCUCUCCACACUUCCUUUCCGAACAUACAUCGCUUUAGUGGGGAACUAUUUGGUACGAGCACGAUUCACUCCAACUCGUUUGAAACGGUUUCGUUUGCUCCUGAAUAAAAAGCAUGUCCGCUCAAAUUCCCUGGAAAAUGUCGAUUUUUUAUUUGAAACCGUACGAACGGAAACUUUAAUUUUAGCCAUUAGACGUGUAGGAAUCGACCUCUCGAUCCUCUUCUCGGAUCAUCCAUGUGCUAAAUCGAUAGAAUGUUUUUGUCUAAUCGCAAAAUUCGGGAUGGUCCAAAGAAAUCCUCAAAGACCGUUAAUGAAAAUGUUAGACCGAAUUCAUGGGCGUAUGAAUCAAAACAUCAAACAUUUUUCAUUAAAGUUUUACCGGAUAACUUCGAGUAUUUGGAUAAUGAAAGAGAUGAGCGCAGCAGUGCUAAAUUGUUUGCUCCCGGCUUGCCCGAAUUUGACAACACUGCAUAUUGAGAUCACAAAUGCAAAUCGCGCCGAUAUUUUUGAUCUCGUUGAUUGUCAUAUUCCUUUGCAAGAACAACAGACCCGAAUAGAGACGCUAUGCGUAGAGACUUGGUGCUUUGUUAACAGCGUUCAUUCCCUACCUCAACAUUUUGCAACUUUUUUAAAAAAAUUAAUGCCGAAGCGUGUAAUAAUUAUCAGGCACAAUCCGAGUCGGUUCGGUUUCAACAUACCCGAGAGCGUUGAAGCAGAUCUCAGCGAUGUUCGCUUUGACAUCUUAAAUACAUAUGAACGAUUUUAUACCAGAGAUGUGGACAUUUUAUCUGUACCGCGUCUCCUGAAAAAAAUCGAGCAAGCUGACAGUGCUUUCUGUUUUAAAAUACGUGAUCACUAUCUUGAUAAGCCUGGAAUGAUCGUGAAAAUACCGACUUCGGAAAAAGAUUCUAAAAAUAUAUCAUUUUACAAAACGCAUAGGUUAAACGAGUUCUAUUUUCCAAACGAUGGUGCAGAAUAA
rnacentral:lncRNA from 1 species